rnacentral:rRNA from 1 species
GAUGAACGCUGGCGGCGUGCUUAACACAUGCAAGUCGAACGGAAAGGCCCAAGCUUGCUUGGGUACUUGAGUGGCGAACGGGUGAGUAACACGUGGGUGAUCUGCCCUGCACUUCGGGAUAAGCCUGGGAAACUGGGUCUAAUACCGGAUAGGACCACAUUUUGGAUGGUGUGGUGGAAAGUUUUUCGGUGUGGGAUGAGCUCGCGGCCUAUCAGCUUGUUGGUGGGGUAAUGGCCUACCAAGGCGUCGACGGGUAGCCGGCCUGAGAGGGUGUACGGCCACAUUGGGACUGAGAUACGGCCCAGACUCCUACGGGAGGCAGCAGUGGGGAAUAUUGCACAAUGGGCGCAAGCCUGAUGCAGCGACGCCGCGUGGGGGAUGACGGCCUUCGGGUUGUAAACUCCUUUCGCUAGGGACGAAGCGCAAGUGACGGUACCUGGAGAAGAAGCACCGGCUAACUACGUG